CAAGUCCUUACUGGUCCCGACCCGGCCACGUAAACUAUUUCCGCAGCUAUGCCACGCCCGCGGGGGGAGUCCCCUCCUACGGAUUCCACCUCAUCUUGUCCUUCGCGCUGGACGCGCUCAGAGUCGAUUGGAGAUGGGGAAGCAGAGGCCCAGAGAGAUGACUUGCUCUAGGGCAAGCCAGCCGCCAUGUUGUGAGGAUACUCAAGCAGUGCUAUGGUCUAUGUGGAGAGGAACUGAGGCCUCCUCCUGCCAACACUGACUUGCCAGGCAUAUGAGUGAGCCACGUUGCAGAUGGAUCUUCUAGUCCAAGUCAAGCCUUCACAUGACUGCAGCCUGAUGUUUGACUGCAACCUCUUUGAGACACCUAGCUCAGUCAGAACUACCUAGCUCCCAAAUUCCUGAUUGACAGCACCUGUGAUCUAAUAAAUGUUUUAGGCCAAUUAAUUAUAAUGUAAUAAAUAACUGACCCA